GACGAACGCUGGCGGCGUGCUUAACACAUGCAAGUCGAGCGGUAAGGCUCCUUCGGGAGUACACGAGCGGCGAACGGGUGAGUAACACGUGAGUAAUCUGCCCCUCACUUCGGGAUAAGCCUCGGAAACGAGGUCUAAUACCGGAUACGACCACUUCUCGCAUGGGAUGGUGGUGGAAAGUUUUUCGGUGGGGGAUGUGCUCGCGGCCUAUCAGCUUGUUGGUGGGGUAAUGGCCUACCAAGGCUUCGACGGGUAGCCGGCCUGAGAGGGUGACCGGCCACACUGGGACUGAGACACGGCCCAGACUCCUACGGGAGGCAGCAGUGGGGAAUAUUGGACAAUGGGCGAAAGCCUGAUCCAGCAACGCCGCGUGAGGGAUGACGGCCUUCGGGUUGUAAACCUCUUUCAGCGGGGACGAAGCGCAAGUGACGGUACCCGCAGAAGAAGCACCGGCCAACUACGUGCCAGCAGCCGCGGUAA
rnacentral:rRNA from 1 species